UUUUUUUUUUUUUUUUUUUGCUAUUAUAUGUAUUUGGUCCUCCCCUGAAUUCUGAAACUGAGUUUAGCAUGAUUUCCUUUUUUUACAGAAGCGGAAGCCAAGGCCUUACAGUGGGAGUGACUCAGCUGGGAUCAGAACUCCUCACUUGGGGACCGAGCCAGGACACCCUGAUUGCCGAAUCCCCCCUGAUCUCUUAGCCUUCCGCUUUCUGCUGGAUGGAACUGGUGGAGCGUCUACCGGACGGGCUAUGGCCACAGCACCAGCUCCCAGCUCCUCGGCCCCAGGGCCUCUGGCCCCUGCUCCACUUGCUCUUGCCUCGGAGGGAGGGGACCCAAAGGCCUUCUUUAGGAUGAAGAGGGGACAUGUGUUCAGCAAAGUCUGGGCAGGAAAAAGAAAGCCUUUGGGUGGAGGGACCCAAAGAGCAGCUCCCGCAGAAAGCCCAGCCGCACCCACGCCACUGGGACAGACAUGAACGAGGUGCAUCGCCUCAUUUAGACAUCGGGACCCAGAAAUAGAACACAAUCUACAAUAUAGCUUCCUUCAGGCAUCUGGAGGCUAUUUAAAAAGAAAAAA